rnacentral:rRNA from 1 species
ACGAACGCUGGCGGCGUGCUUAACACAUGCAAGUCGAACGGUGAACCGGAGCUUGCUCUGGGGAUCAGUGGCGAACGGGUGAGUAACACGUGGGCAACCUGCCCCUAGCUCUGGGAUAAGCCCGGGAAACCGGGUCUAAUACCGGAUAUGAGGUCGGAAGGCAUCUUCUGACUUGGAAAGUUUUUCGGCUAGGGAUGGGCCCGCGGCCUAUCAGCUUGUUGGUGGGGUAACGGCCUACCAAGGCGACGACGGGUAGCCGGCCUGAGAGGGCGACCGGCCACACUGGGACUGAGACACGGCCCAGACUCCUACGGGAGGCAGCAGUGGGGAAUAUUGCACAAUGGGCGAAAGCCUGAUGCAGCGACGCCGCGUGAGGGAUGACGGCCUUCGGGUUGUAAACCUCUUUCAGCAGGGACGAAGCGAAAG